UUGGAGGUUGGGUGUAGAUGAAAGCCCAGUGGCGAACGGGUGAGUAAUGAAUACGAACGUACCUCUUUGCGGAGCAUAGCCCACCGAAAGGUGGGGUAAUACUCCAUAAUACCGUAAGGUUAAAGACGCAAGUCACGAAGAGAGCGGCGUAUUUGCUACCAGCUAGUUGGUGGGGUAACGGCCUACCAAGGCGAUGACGGCUAACGGCUCUUAGCGGAGAGUCCGUCGCAAUGGGACUGAGACACGGCCCAUACACCUACGGGUGGCAGCAGUUAGGAAUUUUUCGCAAUGGACGCAAGUCUGACGAAGCGACACCGCGUGAGGGAUGACGGCCUUCGGGUUGUAAACCUCUUUUGUUUCUCCAUGAAGGAGUUACGAAUAAGCAACUACUAACUACGUGCC
rnacentral:rRNA from 1 species